rnacentral:rRNA from 1 species
UACAGAGGUGGCAAGCGUUGUUCGGAAUCACUGGGCUUAAAGGGCGCGUAGGCGGGCUGACAAGUCUGGGGUGAAAUGCCGCGGCUCAACCGUGGAACUGCCUCAGAUACUGUCGGCCUCGAGGAAGGUAGGGGCAUGCGGAACUGUAGGUGGAGCGGUGAAAUGCGUUGAUAUCUACAGGAACUCCGGUGGCGAAAGCGGCGGGGUGGACCUUUUCUGACGCUGAGGCGCGAAAGCUAGGGGAGCAAACGGG